GGGCCCGUGGUCUAGCGGUUAUGACAGCGCCCUUACAAGGCGUUAGUCUCCGGUUCAAAUCCGGACGGGCCCACCA
rnacentral:tRNA from 1 species